UACGUAGGGGCAAGCGUUGUCCGGAAUUAUUGGGCGUAAAGAGCUCGUAGGCGGCUCAGCAAGUCGGCUGUGAAAUCCCGAGGCUCAACCUCGGAACUGCAGUCGAUACUGCUGUGGCUAGAGUCUGGUAGAGGAGAAUGGAAUUCCCGGUGUAGCGGUGAAAUGCGCAGAUAUCGGGAGGAACACCAGUAGCGAAGGCGGUUCUCUGGGCCAGUACUGACGCUGAGGAGCGAAAGCGUGGGUAGCAAACAGGAUUA
rnacentral:rRNA from 1 species